rnacentral:rRNA from 1 species
UCUACAGAGUAGUUGGUUUACUAGAGGAGUAGGGUACCAAACCUGAAAUUCAUUUUGGGGUGGCGAACUUAUUUCAAGUUAGAGAGGCAUGUAUCUAAUAGAUACAACACUAGAAUCUUACCUAAAAAUAGUUGACACUUCAUACACCGCCAUAGAUAGAGGUUCAAUAGACCAAUUUAUUCUCCAAAUUAUUUUGAUUAGGAGUCAAAAUUAGGUCAAGGCGUGGGAUACUUUUUGGGGAAAUAUGUGCCUUUUAUUGUGGAGACAAGAGUAAGUUUCUUGUUUUAAAUAAAAUUUAAAAGUAAAUUUUAUUCAUAAAGUAAAAUUGAAUUAUGUUCAAUUAGCCGU